rnacentral:tRNA from 1 species
GUCCUAGUAGUAUAAGCAUUACAGUGGUCUUGUAAACCACAAAUGGAAGUUAACUUCCCUAGGACU